rnacentral:rRNA from 1 species
UACGUAGGCAGCAAGCGUUGUUCGGAGUUACUGGGCGUAAAGAGUGUGUAGGCUGUUCUCUAAGUUUGGUGUGAAAUCUCCCGGCUCAACUGGGAGGGUGCGCCGAAAACUGGAGGGCUCGAGUAUGGGAGAGGAAAGCGGAAUUCCUGGUGUAGCGGUGAAAUGCGUAGAUAUCAGGAGGAACACCUGCGGUGUAGACAGCUUUCUGGACCAUCACUGACGCUGAGACACGAAAGCGUGGGGAGCAAACAGG